AUGCGGACAUAUUCGUCGAUGGCAUCGGCUGAACACCCAUAUGCCAGGACUCAAACAACCGCAAUGCACUUCAUCAGAGGGCUUGCACUUAAUCUCUCCACUUGCAUUUCUCCGGAUCUUGAACAAGCCAUCAUACUUCUCAAUGGCUUUUGCAAUGGUCAGAAAAAUACUUGUGUGCAUCCGAAAGCGCUAGCGAAAGUACUCCGGAUAAGUUGGCUUCAGAGCAAAGUAGUUUGUCAUGAUCUUGGCAUGGCCCUCCGCUCUAUCACGGUUGAUGGGUAUGCGUCCAAACCGUGGUCCUCUCCUAGGGCACCAAAUAUCAUCAAUGAAAAUCAUGCCUAA
rnacentral:rRNA from 1 species